rnacentral:lncRNA from 1 species
UAUUUAACAAAAUAGUUAGAUAUUUCCCAAUUACAUUUUAAUCUGGUUCCAUCCAUGCCCUAUAGUGGUAUGUGUGGCCUCUCUGGUGUCAUGGAUUAGAGUGCUUGACCUGAAGUCAGGGGAACCUGAAUUCAAAUCCUACCCAAGUUCAGUGGACCAUCAUAGAUGUAUUGAGAAACCAACCAGGGAGAUUAUGAAAUUGAAUGAAGACCAUCUUUAAAAGUUCCAGGCCUGUCCACUCCAUUUGUCACUUCUUCAAACAGAGGGUAGAGUUGGAAAGCAUCUGCCCUGUGUUCUUUCUGGAAACUGAAUCUGCCAGAAAUCUGUUGUGAGGUGGUGAAGGAAAUAAAGUGGUGAGAAAAUAAAGGGGUUAAUAUAAU